rnacentral:tRNA from 1 species
GCGGAAGUGGCUCUGUGGUAGAGCAGCGCCUUGCCAAGGCGAGGGUCGCGAGUUCGAAUCUCGUCUUCCGCUCCA